rnacentral:lncRNA from 1 species
AUGGCAGACACAAAAGUAGACUCUGUUUCGGAUAUCCCCACCAAGGACCUGAAAGAGAAAAAACUCAGUGAAGAGAAGGAGAAUGGCAAAACUGCCACUAAUGGAAAGGAGAAUGAGGAAAAUGGAGAGCCAGAGAUAGAUGAUGAAGAUGAAGUGGAUGAAGAGGAUGAGGAGGAUGAAGUAGAAGGUGAAUUUGGUUUGGUUUCCAUUUGGUCAGCCUAUGCAUUUUUUGUCAAAGUGAUUACAUCCAACUUGUAAUAGUUCUUCAUUUGAGAUGUGUGUUAAGUUGUCAUUCCAUGUUUUUAGGCGAUGAUGAUGAUGAUGACGAUGAAGACGACGAUGAACUUGAAGCAGGCACGAAACGACCAGCGGACGACAGUGAUGAGGAUGAUGAGGUAAGGAAGCAGACGGCUCUUCAGUGGAGGGGUUUGUUCAUGGAUGUUGGCAACACUUCCUUGAGACAAUAAUGCAUUAAGAUAUAGUUAUAAGGCAUUGCCAGACUUUUCCUUUACAUGA